rnacentral:ncRNA from 1 species
GAUCGUUAAGGUCCGUGCUGUAAAUUUUAGCUUUGCUUGGUUUCUACAUGUUAGAUAAUUCGAGAAAAAAUUUUAUAAAGUAAAAAUAUGGAUAUUCUCAGUAGAAGAUUUUUAAAUCAGAAAACUUCGGGUUUAAGGCUUAAGAUAAAGAAUGGAAAAUUAUGUGCCAGCAUCCGCGGUUAUACAUAAGUUCUAAGUUAAAAAAUUUAUAUGGGAGAGAUUAGUGAAAUUUUAAAAAUUUUUGUUUAUUUUUUAAGGUAGAAUUUAAAAAUAGAUUAAUAUUUUCAUAAUCACUUGAAUUUAAAAGAAUCGUAAAGGACCAGGAUUAGAUACCCUGUUACUGAUUUUUGUAUUCCUAGAUUAGUAUUUUUUGUGAAAUUUAACGGAUUUGGCGGCAAAACAGCCUUUUAGAGGAACCUGCCCUUUAAUCGACGGUCCACGAAUUACCAAACUUCUUUUUGAUGUCAGUUUGUAUACCGCUGUUGUCAGUUAGUUUCUUUAGAAAUCUAUCAAUAUCAAUAAAAUUGUGGACUUCAAGUAAAGGUGCAGCUUAUAGAGAAGGUUGAGGUGGGUUACAUUUGAGUUGAACAACUACGAAUAAAGAAAUGAAAAAUUUUUUGAAGGUGGAUUUAAAAGUAAGAUUUUGUAGAUCUGAUGUAAGGAAAUGUUUUGUGUACAAACCGCCCGUCGCUCUUAUUUUAUAAGAUAAGUCGUAACAAGGUAAGUGUAACGGAAGUUGUACUUGAUUGAAA